ACCGCCUCCACCUACACACCCACCGCCGCUGCCGCCGCCGCCUACGCCGCCUCCAUUCUGAUGGAGGAGUAGCGAGGAGUAGCAACUGGUGGAGGCGGCGGUGGUGGGUGUGGAGGUGGAACUGGUGGU
rnacentral:pre_miRNA from 1 species